rnacentral:misc_RNA from 1 species
GAUGAAGAACGUAGCGAAAUGCGACAAGUAAUGUGAAUUGCAGAAUUCAGUGAAUCAUCGAAUCUUUGAACGCAUAUUGCGCUCUCUGGUAUUCCGGAGAGCAUGCUUGUUUGAGUAUCAGUAAACACCUCAACUUCCAUAUCUUUUUUGAAAUGGGAGUUGGACUUGAGUGAUCCCAACGCUUUUCCUCACCGAAAAGUGGCGGGUUACUUGAAAUGCAGGUGCAGCUGGACUUUUCUCUGAGCUAUAAGCAUAUCUAUUUAGUCUGCCUAAAAAACAGAUUAUUACCUUUGCUGCAGCUAACAUAAAGGAGAUUAGUUCUUGUGCUGACUGAUGCAGGAUUCACAAAGACAGGCUUCGGCCGACUUUGUAAACUCGAUCUCAAAUCAAGUAAGACUACCCGCUGAACUUAAGCAUAUCAAUAAGCGGAGGA